UACGUAGGGUGCGAGCGUUGUCCGGAAUUAUUGGGCGUAAAGAGCUCGUAGGCGGUUUGUCGCGUCGGCCGUGAAAACUUGGGGCUUAACCCCAAGCCUGCGGUCGAUACGGGCAGACUUGAGUUCGGCAGGGGAGACUGGAAUUCCUGGUGUAGCGGUGAAAUGCGCAGAUAUCAGGAGGAACACCGGUGGCGAAGGCGGCAUCCUGGACCAUUACUGACACUGAAAAGCGAAAGCCAGGGGAGCAAACGGG
rnacentral:rRNA from 1 species